rnacentral:rRNA from 1 species
GACGAACGCUGGCGGCGCGCUUAACUCACGCAAGUCGACCGGUGAAGCGCCUUCCUUUUUGGUGGGUGUGGCUGCGUGGCGAACGGGUGAAUAACACGUGCGUAACCUGCCCCCUUCUUCUGGCUAACCGCAUGAAAGUGUGGCUAUUCAGCGCUAUCCUGUGUCCGUCGCAUGAUGGUCCUGGGAUAGAUAUUGUUUCGGCGGCGGAUGGGCUCGCGGCCUGUCAGCUUGUUGGUGGGGGUUUGGUCUACAAUGGCGGUGAUGGGUAGACGGGCUGAGAGAGUGCACGGUCGCACUGGGACUGAGACACGGCCCAGAUUCCUACGGGAGGCAGCAGUAGUGAUUAUUGCACAAUGGGGGCAAGCAUGAUGCAGCGUCGCCGCGUGAGGUAUGGAGGCCUUCGGGUUGUGAACCGCUUUCGCAAGUGAAGCGGUACUGCCUCGUUUGUGGGUGGGUUGACGGUAGCUGGAUGAGAAGCGCCGGCUAGCUACGUG